rnacentral:rRNA from 1 species
AACGAACGCUGGCGGCAUGCCUAACACAUGCAAGUCGAACGAGACCUUCGGGUCUAGUGGCGCACGGGUGCGUAACGCGUGGGAACCUGCCCUUAGGUUCGGAAUAACUCCCCGAAAGGGGUGCUAAUACCGGAUAAUGUCUUCGGACCAAAGAUUUAUCGCCUUUGGAUGGGCCCGCGUGGGAUUAGCUAGUUGGUAGGGUAAAAGCAUACCAAGGCGACGAUCCAUAGCUGGUCUGAGAGGAUGAUCAGCCACACUGGGACUGAGACACGGCCCAGACUCCUACGCGAGGCAGCAGUGGGGAAUAUAGGACACUGGGCUAAAGCCUGAAGCAGCAAUGCCGCGUGAGUGAUGAAGGCCUUAGGGUUGUAAAGCUCUUUUACCCGGGAUGAUAAUGACAGUACCGGGAGAAUAAGCCCCGGCUAACUCCGUG